AACAACUUUUGUAUUAGAUUUAGUUUCCACACUCUUCUCCAUCACAUAUCGUUGUGGUGGAACUAUUUUCCUUGUAGUCAAUUGUGUAUCAGAAAGAGUCCUCCACUUUCAGCGAUGGAAUUAGAGACGGAAUCUAUCUGUAGCAAAUCAGAGACGGAUUAUUGAGGGAACAGCGACGGAACUCACAAAUAUUUCGAACAAAAUACUUAUAGAAUUUCAGAGAGGUAUUAGCGAUGGAUCAAUGACAGAUUUGUAAGGAUUUAUUGACAAAAAAACGUUUGCUCGCUAAUCCGUCGCAAAUUAAAACAUCCUAACGAGAGAACAACGACGGAUUACUAAAAUCACACACCUUUUUUUUGGCCUUCGCCAAUCUCUCGCAGAAAAUGGGCAACUCUUGUUUUUCAUUCCCCGCUUUUCUUCGUUUUUCCGUUCCCUCCUUUUAUUUCCAUUCCCGCUUCUCUUUUUUUUUUUUUUUUUUUUUCAUUCCCCCAUUUUAUUUUAAUUCCCUCUACCUUUUUCCCAAAGCUCUGAACAAUUUCAUCCCAAAUCCCUAAUCGAAUCUCUGUCCACUGAAAUCCCUCCUCUGCCCAGAAAUCACCUCCACCACCGUCCACUUGCAUCGCCCCCUGUUGACUCACUUUUUCCCUGCCAACGCCAUUCCUUUAUCCUCGAUCGUAAACACGAGCAAAUCUCAAGUAGUCUUCAUCAGCUCCUAAUUUUGGUUUCUACUGGUGUAUAAGUGGCUUCUAAACAUAGCUUCUUUCUAGCCAUGACGAAGAUCGUCGGGACCUUGGGCACGAAAUCACGAGCUGUUGAAAUCAUUUCAAGCUGCCUUCAAGUUGUUGCACGGUUUGAUUUUUCAUAGGGUGACAUUGAAUUUCAUCAAGAGACAUUGGAAAAUCUUAAAAUGGAUAUCAAGAGCUUGAAAAAACUACGUGUUGUCUUCUUUGUUUUCAUGCUUUCUGAUACUUCAAACUACGAUUCCCAUAUGAAGAUAGGACUUCUGUUUUCAGAAGGACAGUGUGAUUAAAAACAGUGAUGGUCACAUAUAUUAUUUACAAUCAAUUAGAUGGUGAUUGUUGGCCUUGGGAUAUGAAACAAAUAGAUUUACUCUUACAUCACUACUAGAGGAAGGACGGAAAUGGGACAUCUGGUGGAAGGUAUGCGAUCUCUUCGGUGAAUAAAUAUAAUCAAUCACAAUUCAAGUCAGUGCUUUCCAUUAAUUGGAAAUUUUGGAUGUCUACAAAAAACUUCAGGCUUAGGUGGAACACAGUCAAAUCCUUCCUUGAUCUAAAGACUACUACCAAGAUUCAUGUAAGUUAUUUCCAAUUUUUUUACCUAAAAAAUAACUGCAUUUUUGUAAAAAAUGGUUGAGUUGACAAGGAAUGUUUGGGACCAGAAAAGAAACAAUCUUUGUUUAUCAGCACUUACUCCAGACAUAACUAAGAAGGGUAAAACGAUCAUUUUAUUGCAUUUAUAUGAAUUAUGUAUUCCUCUUUUACAUACAAACCGAACUGAAUGAAGAUACCCAAUAUACAAAGAACUUUGAGGCAAUCCACAAUUUCAAGCUCGGGCUAAUACUAGUUUUGUAUCAAUUGCAGAUGUAAUUAAGGUAUUCUUUUCAAAUAUAUCGAAAUUUCUUUCCCAAAAAAUAUAUAUUGACAAUUGUCAGCUUAUGAGCCAUCCUUGAUCUUUUAAGCUAUGUCCAAUGGAUUUUUGGUCAAGAAUCAUUAAAUCAUGUAAAGUUUUUUUUUUUUUUUUUUUUUUUUGUGUUAUUAUGAGGUUUAGUGAUAAGUUUUCCCUUCAUCUUUAGGUAUUUUUGUUCAGAUGGAACUUUCGAUUAGAUGAUUCCCUUAACAACAAGCUGGAAUGAUAAGUUUUCUGAUUUCCCACUUUUGUAUUUUUAUUAGGGGAAUGUGCUCAUUGCUGUUCUUUCAAAUUGCAUGGUUGACAUUGAUUAGAUGAUGCUUCAUCUUUAGGACCUUUUUGUUCAGGUGGAACUUUUGAUGAUGAGUAUGAGGACAUUUCUGUCUUUUACACUUUUCCAGAUGGGACAAAAAUUGCAAAUUUUGUCAAAUUGACAUCAAUCCAAUUCACACCAAACAGGAGUUCUUGUGGUACAUGUCUUGAUAAAGGUAGUUAUAGGCAAUCAGAGAAGGGCACAAUGAAAGACCUAGAGACCAAGGAAAAGUAAGUGGAACUUGGUUUGCCUAAUUCCAUGGGAUUAAACGUGAAUUGGAAUCCAAUUCCAUUCCGAUCCUUAAUCGGAUGCAAGUUAUCAAGCAAUGUUAAACUUUGAUAUUAAGUGUUUUUGGUAAACUUUUGAUAGUUGAUUUUUUGGUAUUUUAAUGUUAAUGUUUGGUUUUAGAUUGUAAAAUUAUUGGAUGCUUUUGGUAUUUAAAUGAUAAUGUUUGGUUUGUGUUUGUAUAA